CCGGUGUCUGUGAGAGGUGGAACUGAGCAGCUGGAGAAACCGAAGUGCAUUGUACACUACAGCAGGUUUAUGGGGGAGUAGACUUGGCUGAUCAGUGCAUACAGCCCUAUCUGGUGAACCGGAAGAGUAGGACCUGGUACAAGAAAAUUGCAAUCUACAUAACCCAGAUUGCAAUUUUCAAUGCCUAUGUGCUUUAUAAAAAGGAAGCCAUAGGUAGACCAUGCCCAUUUCUAGAGUUUAUGGUCCAAAUUUUGUCUCAAAUUAUAUUUGCCCAGACCCCAAAUCCUAACCCUCCUUUGGAAUCAGAAGAUGUC